UAGGGAAUCUUCGGCAAUGGACGAAAGUCUGACCGAGCAACGCCGCGUGAGUGAAGAAGGUUUUCGGAUCGUAAAACUCUGUUGUUAGAGAAGAACAAGGACGUUAGUAACUGAACGUCCCCUGACGGUAUCUAACUAGAAAGCCACGGCUAACUACGUGCCAGCAGCCGCGGUAAUACGUAGGUGGCAAGCGUUGUCCGGAUUUAUUGGGCGUAAAGCGAGCGCAGGCGGUUUCUUAAGUCUGAUGUGAAAGCCCCCGGCUCAACCGGGGAGGGUCAUUGGAAACUGGGAGACUUGAGUGCAGAAGAGGAGAGUGGAAUUCCAUGUGUAGCGGUGAAAUGCGUAGAUAUAUGGAGGAACACCAGUGGCGAGGGCGGCUCUCUGGUCUGUAACUGACGCUGAGGCUCGAAAGCGUGGGGAGCAAACAGG
rnacentral:rRNA from 1 species